rnacentral:lncRNA from 1 species
UAACUUUCUUUCAAAUUAGUCCUUGAAAUAGUUAAAUCAAGUUACAAUGAUCUCAAAAAUAUAAAAAUCGUUAAAAAAAGGGAUAAGAACAGACAUAUAAUCGAGCUUGAAAGCUUGGCCAAACCCUAGCUAUGUCUUCUCUUCUAAUUUUCAGCUAUAGGGAUGAAAUUGAAGAAUAUGACAUCUUUUAUUUAGUUAUUUUGGCUUUAUUUACAAAAUUACCUUUUUACCUCUC